AUUGAACGCUGGCGGCAUGCCUUACACAUGCAAGUCGAACGGUAACAGGUCUUCGGAUGCUGACGAGUGGCGAACGGGUGAGUAAUACAUCGGAACGUGCCUAGUAGUGGGGGAUAACUACUCGAAAGAGUGGCUAAUACCGCAUGGGAUCUACGGAUGAAAGCAGGGGAUCGCAAGACCUUGUGCUACUAGAGCGGCCGAUGGCCGAUUAGGUAGUUGGUGGGAUAAAAGCUUACCAAGCCGACGAUCUGUAGCUGGUCUGAGAGGACGAUCAGCCACACUGGGACUGAGACACGGCCCAGACUCCUACGGGAGGCAGCAGUGGGGAAUUUUGGACAAUGGGCGCAAGCCUGAUCCAGCAAUGCCGUGUGCAGGAUGAAGGCCUUCGGGUUGUAAACUGCUUUUGUACGGAACGAAAAGCCCCGGGUUAAUACCCUGGGGUCAUGACGGUACCGUAAGAAUAAGCACCGGCUAACUACGUGCCAGCCGCCGCCGUAA
rnacentral:rRNA from 1 species